UUUACCCUCUUGAUAGAAAAGACCUUCUAACUGAGUGUUAUUAGGUUUGCCUCUCAAGGGGAACCCAAGUUGACGAUGAGCCAAAGCAGGGUUAUAGUUGAUUCCUCUUUGUGUACCAAUGAGAGGCGCAUUAGAGAACUCACCACAAAUAUCAAUAAUAUCCACACUACUCAAUGCAGAAUUACACCAAAUAAUAUCAUCAUUA
rnacentral:lncRNA from 1 species